rnacentral:lncRNA from 1 species
UCUGGUUUGACGAGAUAGAGGGUGUAUAUUAGACAGUUUCAUAUAUCAAUGUUGAGUCUUAGACUUUGGGUAGGAUUUAGGGUGGUAAUGUGAACUUAUUCUUAAAUGAAAAGAGGUAUACAUAGUCGAGAACAAAAAAGAUAAAAAAAAGUAUAUUAAAGGAUCUAGCCGUUAUACUAUUUUGGAAAAUAUUCCUUCUUUGCUCUAUGGUUAACCAUAGUAAAUUUAUGCUUGAAGAACUCGUGACAUCUUGGAAUUGAUGGGCUUGAUUACCACCUCCAUGGAGCUGCUAUUUGCCUUCUAAG